rnacentral:rRNA from 1 species
AGCAAAACUGGUGGCACGAGCGGAGGGAAUACGAAGGGUGCAAACGUUGCUCGCAAUUAUGUGGCGUCAAGCGCACGUAGGCGGCGUAGCAAGGUCCAUGUGAAAGGCCACGGCUUAAGCGGGGAAGUGCAUGGGAAACUGCUUAGCUUGAGUACUUAAGAGGAGCGCGGAAUUCCCGGUGUAGAGGUGAAAUUCGGAGAUAUCGGGAGGAACACCAGUGGCGAAGGCGGCGAUCUGGGAAGAUACUGACGCUGAGGUGCGAAAGCGUGGGGAGCAAACAGGAUUAGAUACCUGGUAGUC